AACGAACGCUGGCGGCAUGCCUAACACAUGCAAGUCGAACGAGACCUUCGGGUCUAGUGGCGCACGGGUGCGUAACGCGUGGGAACCUGCCCUUAGGUUCGGAAUAACUCCCCGAAAGGGGUGCUAAUACCGGAUAAUGUCUUCGGACCAAAGAUUUAUCGCCUUUGGAUGGGCCCGCGUUGGAUUAGCUAGUUGGUAGGGUAAAAGCCUACCAAGGCGACGAUCCAUAGCUGGUCUGAGAGGAUGAUCAGCCACACUGGGACUGAGACACGGCCCAGACUGCUACGGGAGGCAGCAGUGGGGAAUAUUGGACAAUGGGCGAAAGCCUGAUCCAGCAAUGCCGCGUGAGUGAUGAAGGCCUUAGGGUUGUAAAGCUCUUUUACCCGGGAUGAUAAUGACAGUACCGGGAGAAUAAGCUCCGGCUAACUACGUG
rnacentral:rRNA from 1 species